ACUAGUGCCGCCUUCUUGGCGUA
rnacentral:snRNA from 1 species